rnacentral:rRNA from 1 species
GACGAACGCUUGCGGCGUGCUUAACACAUGCAAGUCGAACGGAAAGGCCCUGCUUUUGUGGGGUGCUCGAGUGGCGAACGGGUGAGUAACACGUGAGUAACCUGCCCUUGACUUUGGGAUAACUUCAGGAAACUGGGGCUAAUACCGGAUAGGAGCUCCUGCUGCAUGGUGGGGGUUGGAAAGUUUCGGCGGUUGGGGAUGGACUCGCGGCUUAUCAGCUUGUUGGUGGGGUAGUGGCUUACCAAGGCUUUGACGGGUAGCCGGCCUGAGAGGGUGACCGGCCACAUUGGGACUGAGAUACGGCCCAGACUCCUACGGGAGGCAGCAGUGGGGAAUAUUGCACAAUGGGCGGAAGCCUGAUGCAGCAACGCCGCGUGCGGGAUGACGGCCUUCGGGUUGUAAACCGCUUUCGCCUGUGACGAAGCGUGAGGGACGGUAAUGGGUAAAGAAGCACCGGCUAACUACGUGCCAGCAGCCGCGGUGAUACGUAGGGUGCGAGCGUUGUCCGGAUUUAUUGGGCGUAGAGGGCUCGUAGGUGGUUGAUCGCGUCGGAAGUGUAAUCUUGGGGCUUAACCCUGAGCGUGCUUUCGAUACGGGUUGACUUGAGGAAGGUAGGGGAGAAUGGAAUUCCUGGUGGAGCGGUGGAAUGCGCAGAUAUCAGGAGGAACACCAGUGGCGAAGGCGGUUCUCUGGGCCUUUCCUGACGCUGAGGAGCGAAAGCGUGGGGAGCGAACAGGCUUAGAUACCCUGGUAGUCCACGCUGUAAACGGUGGGUACUAGGUGUGGGGUCCAUUCCACGGGUUCCGUGCCGUAGCUAACGCUUUAAGUACCCCGCCUGGGGAGUACGGCCGCAAGGCUAAAACUCAAAGGAAUUGACGGGGCCCCGCACAAGCGGCGGAGCAUGCGGAUUAAUUCGAUGCAACGCGUAGAACCUUACCUGGGUUUGACAUGGAUCGGGAGCGCUCAGAGAUGGGUGUGCCUCUUUUGGGGUCGGUUCACAGGUGGUGCAUGGCUGUCGUCAGCUCGUGUCGUGAGAUGUUGGGUUAAGUCCCGCAACGAGCGCAACCCUUGUUCACUGUUGCCAGCACGUUAUGGUGGGGACUCAGUGGAGACCGCCGGGGUCAACUCGGAGGAAGGUGGGGAUGACGUCAAGUCAUCAUGCCCCUUAUGUCCAGGGCUUCACGCAUGCUACAAUGGCUGGUACAGAGAGUGGCGAGCCUGUGAGGGUGAGCGAAUCUCGGAAAGCCGGUCUCAGUUCGGAUUGGGGUCUGCAACUCGACCUCAUGAAGUCGGAGUCGCUAGUAAUCGCAGAUCAGCAACGCUGCGGUGAAUACGUUCCCGGGGCU